rnacentral:ncRNA from 17 species
GAGAUAGUGUGAAGCAGUGAUCUUGCAGCUAAUAUGGUCACUUUUUACGGCUGCAAGUGAGCUAAUAGUGAAACCGGCACACUGAUGC